rnacentral:rRNA from 1 species
GAUGAACGCUGGCGGCGUGCCUAAUACAUGCAAGUCGAGCGAACGGACGAGAAGCUUGCUUCUCUGAUGUUAGCGGCGGACGGGUGAGUAACACGUGGAUAACCUACCUAUAAGACUGGGAUAACUUCGGGAAACCGGAACUAAUACCGGAUAAUAUUUUGAACCGCAUGGUUCAAAAGUGAAAGACGGUCUUGCUGUCACUUAUAGAUGGAUCCGCGCUGCAUUAGCUAGUUGGUAAGGUAACGGCUUACCAAGGCAACGAUGCAUAGCCGACCUGAGAGGGUGAUCGGCCACACUGGAACUGAGACACGGUCCAGACUCCUACGGGAGGCAGCAGUAGGGAAUCUUCCGCAAAGGGCGAAAGCCUGACGGAGCAACGCCGCGUGAGUGAUGAAGGUCUUCGGAUCGUAAAACUCUGUUAUUAGGGAAGAACAUAUGUGUAAGUAACUGUGCACAUCUUGACGGUACCUAAUCAGAAAGCCACGGCUAACUACGUG